AGUCUGCUAGUGUAGGGGUUAGCACGUGGGAUUUUGAUUUGAGGUCAAAUUCAAGUUUCCCGAGUCCCCGGUUCGAAUCCGGGGCGGACUA